rnacentral:rRNA from 1 species
CCUACGGGGGGCUGCAGUGGGGAAUAUUGGACAAUGGGCGAAAGCCUGAUCCAGCCAUGCCGCGUGUGUGAAGAAGGCCUUCGGGUUGUAAAGCACUUUCAGUGGGGAAGAAAGCCUUGGGGCUAAUACCCUCGAGGAAGGACAUCACCCACAGAAGAAGCACCGGCUAACUCCGUGCCAGCAGCCGCGGUAAUACGGAGGGUGCGAGCGUUAAUCGGAAUUACUGGGCGUAAAGCGCGCGUAGGCGGUCUGAUAAGCCGGUUGUGAAAGCCCCGGGCUCAACCUGGGAACGGCAUCCGGAACUGUCAGGCUAGAGUGCAGGAGAGGAAGGUAGAAUUCCCGGUGUAGCGGUGAAAUGCGUAGAGAUCGGGAGGAAUACCAGUGGCGAAGGCGGCCUUCUGGACUGACACUGACGCUGAGGUGCGAAAGCGUGGGUAGCAAACAGGAUUAGAACCCCAGUAGUC